rnacentral:rRNA from 1 species
GGGUUGUGAGGUUAAGCGACUAAGCGUACACGGUGGAUGCCCUGGCAGUCAGAGGCGAUGAAGGACGUGCUAAUCUGCGAAAAGCGUCGGUAAGGUGAUAUGAACCGUUACAGCCGGCGAUGUCCGAAUGGGGAAACCCAGUGCAAUUCGUUGCACUAUCGUUUGAUGAAUACAUAGUCAAACGAGGCGAACCGGGGGAACUGAAACAUCUAAGUACCCCGAGGAAAAGAAAUCAACCGAGAUUCCCCCAGUAGCGGCGAGCGAACGGGGAGCAGCCCGGAGUCUGAAUCAGCUUGUGUGUUAGUGGAAGCGUCUGGAAAGUCGCAGGGUACAGGGUGAUACUCCCGUACACUAAAAC